rnacentral:rRNA from 1 species
UACGUAGGGGGCUAGCGUUGUCCGGAAUCAUUGGGCGUAAAGAGCGUGUAGGCGGCCCGGUAAGUCCGCUGUAAAAGUCAAAGGCUCAACCUUUGAAUGUCAGUGGAUACUGCCGGGCUAGAGUCCGGAAGAGGCGAGUGGAAUUCCUGGUGUAGCGGUGAAAUGCGCAGAUAUCAGGAGGAACACCCGUGGCGAAAGCGGCUCUCUGGGACGGUACUGACGCUGAGACGCGAAAGCGUGGGGAGCAAACAGG